UACGGAGGAUCCAAGCGUUAUCCGGAUUUAUUGGGUUUAAAGGGUGCGUAGGUGGGAUGAUAAGUCAGAGGUGAAAGCUAGCAGCUUAACUGUUAAAUUGCCUUUGAUACUGUUAUUCUUGAGUGUAGUUGGCGUUGGCGGAAUGUGACAUGUAGCGGUGAAAUGCGUAGAUAUGUCACAGAACACCGAUCGCGAAGGCAGCUAACGAAGCUAUCACUGACACUGAUGCACGAAAGCGUGGGGAGCAAAC
rnacentral:rRNA from 1 species